rnacentral:rRNA from 1 species
GAUGAACGCUGGCGGCGUGCCUAAUACAUGCAAGUCGAGCGAACAGACGAGGAGCUUGCUCCUCUGACGUUAGCGGCGGACGGGUGAGUAACACGUGGAUAACCUACCUAUAAGACUGGGAUAACUUCGGGAAACCGGAGCUAAUACCGGAUAAUAUAUUGAACCGCAUGGUUCAAUAGUGAAAGACGGUUUUGCUGUCACUUAUAGAUUGAUCCGCGCCGCAUUAGCUAGUUGGUAAGGUAACGGCUUACGAAGGCGACGAUGCGUAGCCGACCUGAGAGGGUGAUCGGCCACAGCGGAACUGAGAAACGGCCGCGACUCCUACGGUAGGCAGCAGUAGGGAAUCUUCCGCAAUGGGCGAAAGCUUGACGGAGCAACGGCGCGCGAGUGAUGAAGCUCUUCGGAGCGGAAAACUCUGCUAUCAGGGAAGAACAAAUGUGUAAGUAACUAUGCCCGUCGUGACGUUACCUAAUAAGAAAGCCACGGCUAACUACGUG